GGUGCGCAUUUCGUCUGUCACCGCCUACUGUUUGCAGAACCGGCAAACGAGUUACGUUAACUAGCAAGUUUACGCACUUACGUUGCGGAGCCGUAGCGAAAGCUAGUGUUACCUCAGCGUUCAGUUACUUGACGUAGACCCGACAUCGGGCGCCCUACCCAUGAGCAGGAUGAAGCGAAAGUAAAAUUUCGUGGAGGUCCGAACCCACGGGCGUUGAAAAGCUCGGGGAUGACUUGUGGGUAGCGGUGCAAUUCCAAUCGAGCCCGGAGAUAGCUGGUUCUCCCCGAAAUAGCUUUAGGGGUAUCCUGAAGGUGCGAGAUACUGCGGUGGAGCAAUGACUGUCCUUCUUGGGAUUCCCACUCCUGCACCCUAGACAACUCCCACUGCCGUC
rnacentral:rRNA from 1 species